rnacentral:rRNA from 1 species
UCGAUGGGGGGACGCAGUAGGAUAGGCGAAGCGUGCGAUUGGAUUGCACGUCUAAGCAGUAAGGCUGAGUAUUAGGCAAAUCCGGUACUCGUUAAGGCUGAGCUGUGAUGGGGAGAAGACAUUGUGUCUUCGAGUCGUUGAUUUCACACUGCCGAGAAAAGCCUCUAGAUAGAAAAUAGGUGCCCGUACCGCAAACCGACACAGGUAGUCAAGAUGAGAAUUCUAAGGUGAGCGAGCGAACUCUCGUUAAGGAACUCGGCAAAAUGACCCCGUAACUUCGGGAGAAGGGGUGCUCUUUAGGGUUAACGCCCAGAAGAGCCGCAGUGAAUAGGCCCAAGCGACUGUUUAUCAAAAACACAGGUCUCUGCUAAACCGUAAGGUGAUGUAUAGGGGCUGACGCCUGCCCGGUGCUGGAAGGUUAAGAGGAGUGGUUAGCUUCUGCGAAGCUACGAAUCGAAGCCCCAGUAAACGGCGGCCGUAACUAUAACGGUCCUAAGGUAGCGAAAUUCCUUGUCGGGUAAGUUCCGACCCGCACGAAAGGCGUAACGAUUUGGGCACUGUCUCAACGAGAGACUCGGUGAAAUCAUAGUACCUGUGAAGAUGCAGGUUACCCGCGACAGGACGGAAAGACCCCGUGGAGCUUUACUGUAGCCUGAUAUUGAAAUUCGGCACAGCUUGUACAGGAUAGGUAGGAGCCUUUGAAACGUGAGCGCUAGCUUACGUGGAGGCGCUGGUGGGAUACUACCCUAGCUGUGUUGGCUUUCUAACCCGCACCACUUAUCGUGGUGGGAGACAGUGUCAGGCGGGCAGUUUGACUGGGGCGGUCGCCUCCUAAAAGGUAACGGAGGCGCUCAAAGGUUCCCUCAGAAUGGUUGGAAAUCAUUCAUAGAGUGUAAAGGCAUAAGGGAGCUUGACUGCGAGACCUACAAGUCGAGCAGGGUCGAAAGACGGACUUAGUGAUCCGGUGGUUCCGCAUGGAAGGGCCAUCGCUCAACGGAUAAAAGCUACCCCGGGGAUAACAGGCUUAUCUCCCCCAAGAGUUCACAUCGACGGGGAGGUUUGGCACCUCGAUGUCGGCUCAUCGCAUCCUGGGGCUGUAGUCGGUCCCAAGGGUUGGGCUGUUCGCCCAUUAAAGCGGUACGCGAGCUGGGUUCAGAACGUCGUGAGACAGUUCGGUCCCUAUCCGUCGUGGGCGUAGGAAAUUUGAGAGGAGCUGUCCUUAGUACGAGAGGACCGGGAUGGACAUACCUCUGGUGUACCAGUUGUCGUGCCAACGGCAUAGCUGGGUAGCUAUGUGUGGACGGGAUAAGUGCUGAAAGCAUCUAAGCAUGAAGCCCCCCUCAAGAUGAGAUUUCCCAACUUCGGUUAUAAGAUCCCUCAAAGAUGAUGAGGUUAAUAGGUUCGAGGUGGAAGCAUGGUGACAUGUGGAGCUGACGAAUACUAAUCGAUCGAAGACUUAAUCAAAA